rfam:Picea glauca, whole genome shotgun sequence.
UCAUGGUGUCUACAACAUUAAUGCAAUGAAUCCCAUCUGAACUCCGCAUCUAAGUAUGCUUAGGAUAGAGUAGUAUUGGGAUGGGUGACCUCCUAGGAAGUCCUAGUGUUUUGCAUGCC